rnacentral:tRNA from 1 species
GGGCUGCUGGUCUAGUGGUAUGAUUCUCGCUUAGGGUGCGAGAGGUCCCGGGUUCAAUCCCCGGGUGGCCCC